UAGCUGAAUACAUAGGCUAUGGAGGCGAACGAGGGGAACUGAAACAUCUCAGUACCCUUAGGAAUAGAAAUCAAUAGAGAUUUUCCUAGUAGCGGCGAGCGAACGGGAAAGAGCCUAAACCGUGUAUGUGUGAUAGCCCACAGGUGUUGCAUAUGCGGUGUUGCGGGUUUUUACUUGGUAGUGCUGUGGCACUGCCGGGGAGUUACAAAGUUAAUCUAUAAUCGAACCUUGUGGAAACUUGGACCAUAGAAGGUGACAGUCCUGUAGAUGAAAUAGAUUAAUCUCCCUUGUAGAAUACCCAAGUACUUCGGGACACGUGAAACCCUGAAGGAAUCCGGGAGGACCAUCUUCCAAGGCUAAAUACUACCUGACAACCGAUAGUGAACUAGUACCGUGAGGGAAAGGUGAAAAGUACCCCUGGCGGGGAGUGAAAUAGUACCUGAAACCGUGUGCCUACAAGCCGUGGGAGCACUAUUUGUUGAUGCUUGCAUCUUCAAAGUGUGACCGCGUGCCUUUUGCAUAAUGAGUCCGCGAGUUACUUUAUGUUGCAAGGUUAAGCCGUAAGGUGUAGCCGUAGCGAAAGCGAGUCUGAAUAGGGCGUUUAGUAGCAUUAAGUAGACCCGAAACCGAGUGAUCUAGCCAUGGCCAGGGUAAAAGUUCAGUAAAAUGAACCGGAGGCCCGAACCAGUGUAGGUUGAAAACUAUUUGGAUGAGCUGUGGCUAGGAGUGAAAGGCUAAUCAAACUCGGAGAUAGCUGGUUCUCCCCGAAAUAUAUUUAGGUAUAGCCUUACGUUAUAGCAGAUGGAGGUAGAGCACUGAAUGGGAUAGGGGUCUUACAGGAUUACCAAACCCAAUCAAACUCCGAAUGCCAUCUUGCCUUAUCGUAGGAGUCAGUCGGCGGGAGAUAAGUUCCGUCGUCGAGAGGGAAACAACCCAGAUCACCAGCUAAGGUCCCUAAUAUUUGCUAAGUGGGAAAGGAAGUGAGAACGCUCAGACAGCCAGGAGGUUGGCUUAGAAGCAGCCACCCUUUAAAGAAAGCGUAACAGCUCACUGGUCGAGUGUUCUUGCGCCGAAAAUGUAACGGGGCUUAAGUAAAUAACCGAAGCUGUGACUUUGAUGCUUGCAUCAAGGGGUAGGGGAGCGUUCCAGAUCCUGUGAAGUCAGACCGUAAGGACUGGUGGAGGUACUGGAAGUGAUUAUGCGGACAUGAGUAGCGAUAAUGCGGGUGAGAAACCCGCACGCCGAAAGCCCAAGGGUUCCUGGGGAAGGUUAAUCCACCCAGGGUUAGUCAGUGCCUAAGCCGAGGCUGAAAAGCGUAGGCGAUGGGAAACAGGUUAAUAUUCCUGUACCACCAUAGUGGCGUUUGAGCGAAGGGGUGACGUGGAAGGGUAGGCCAUCCAGGCGUUGGUUGUCCUGGUUUAAGCCUGUAGGUGGGGAAAGUAGGCAAAUCCGCUUUCCCAAUUGUAAACACCAAGAGGUUAUGAGGAGGAGCUUAGCUCCGUAAACUGGUUGAUCCCAUGCUACCAAGAAAAACCUCGUAGUGAGUUGUUGUGGUGACUGUACUGUAAACCGACACAGGUAGGCAAGGUGAGUAUCCAAAGGCGCUUGAGAGAACUCUCGUUAAGGAACUCUGCAAAAUGACUCCGUAACUUCGGGAUAAGGAGUGCCCCGUUAGGGUGAAGCGAUUCGCUCGUGGAGCUCGAAGGGGUCGCAGUAAAAUGGCGGUAGCGACUGUUUACUAAAAACAUAGGUCUAUGCUAAGUCGUAAGACGACGUAUAUGGACUGACGCCUGCCCGGUGCUGGAAGGUUAAGGGGAAGUGUUAUCCAAUGGAGAAGCUCUGAACCGAAGCCCCAGUAAACGGCGGCCGUAACUAUAACGGUCCUAAGGUAGCGAAAUUCCUUGUCGGGUAAGUUCCGACCUGCACGAAUG
rnacentral:rRNA from 1 species